CCUAUGGAUCUUGGCUGUGGUAUUUGUAAAACUAUCUUAAUUUUGUAGAAAAUACUAAGUUGUAGUGGUUGAAGGCUACUACAACCUGUGCAAUGUUUUUCAUGUCUAAUACUUAUGUGUAGAUGCUCCAGAAGUGUAGUGCUUUUCUUUUUUUCUUUUUAAUGUUGAAAAUUUCAUUAAUUUUAA